CCACGCCAGCCACUCAUAAUCACGCAGUGUAUUGGCUUGAGCCGACGCGAGCACUACGCUGCUUCGUUGUUUAAGUAAUCAGGGAACGUGCACGAAAUAAACUAAGUACUUUACAAUUUCAUUGUUACAAUCUUUGUAAAAAGUGCACCUGUGCGUAUGAACAUCAUAAGUGGUGUCAUUGAAUAUUGUGAACGUGCAAACUAUUUACUGAGAAAUAACUCUUAAUCGAUUGACCCUAACUUCAAGAUGGGGUAGUCCCAAAGAGAAGAAGAAUAAUAAUUAAUAAAGAAAACACUACAUAAUACAAUAACCGAAGUAUUCUAAUCUAGGUGUAAUAAAAAAAUCACCGCCAUGUAUUCUAUGAACUACAUUGGCAAGUUCAUAUCGAACUUUCGCGAAUUCUACAACGAAAUCAAUAGCGCCACGUUGACGGGCGCCAUCGAUGUGGUUGUGGUGGAACAACCGGACGGCAGCUUCAACUGCUCGCCCUUCCACGUGCGCUUCGGCAAGCUGGGAGUGCUCCGUUCCAGGUUUAAAGUGGUGGAUUUAGAGUUGAAUGGAGAACCUUUAAACAUUCAUAUGAAGCUGGGCGAGUCCGGCGAGGCGUUCUUCGUGGAGGAAGUGAGCGAAGACGAGGCGAAAUGCUCGGCGCACCUCGCCACGUCACCGAUCCCCGCGUCGCGGUUUGACGAGCUGUACGAGCCGCGCCGGCGCAACUCGCUCUCCGCCGUUGAGCCCGACCAUGCACAGGCCUCCGACUAUACCAAACGGAGAUACACAGCUGACGGACAAACAAUGCAAAAACCUGACUUAACACAGUUAACAAAGAAACAUGCCAAAGAGGAAAAGAAUUCCAAUGACCAUGAAGCUUUAUUCGAAAUGGACGGUCUAGACGAAGGAGCAGAUUGGACAGACGGGAAAAUGCCAAAAACAUUCGCGGCGACGCAACUCGGCGGAGCGGAAAGCGAAGCCAACCAGGCAGUGCAAAAAAUCAGCGCACAUAACGAUUUCCGACCGAUAGACGCCGCGCCCGAGGACGAUGUCAAGCAAAACGGAAACGGCAAGAAGAAGAAGAAGACGAGGAAAGUGAGCUCGAAGAAGAAGCACCAGAGGAAGUCGUCGACGAGCUCGAUCUCGAGCCAGUCGGACCGCGCCGGCUCCGACCCGCGCCCCGAGCCGCCCGCCGCCGUCGCCGCCGUCGACGUCAACUUCUUCAGCGACUCCGAAGUGCACAACGCUUCCCUUACCGAAGAGAUGUCCAACUUGAAGCUGAAUGGUGAAAAUCGCAUCCCAUUGGCGUUGUCGGAUACAGCGUUCGAAGUUCACGCUGCGUCUAAACACGCCAGGGGCUCGCGCGGCGGCACGCCGGUGCAGUCGGACACGGAGGUGGAGCUGUCGCGCGCCACGGCGGGCGACAAGUCGUCGCAGUCGUGGCGCUGGGGCGAGCUGCCGUCGCCGCCGGUGCGCGCCGAGUCCCCCGCCUCGGGCGAGUCGGCCGCGUCGGGCGAGUCGCCGCCCUCCCCCGCCUCGCCCGCCUGCCCCGCCUCCCCCGCCGAGCCGCUGAGCUCGGACGAGGAGCGGCCGAGCCGCCGCGGCGUGCUCAGCGGCAUGUUCCGCUUCAUGUCCACCAGGGAGGCCACCGACGCCGCGCCGGAGGGAGUCUACCUCGAUGAUCUCGACAGAGGGCAGGUCGACCCCGAUCUCUAUUUUCCGAAGCAUCACACAGAGCGAUAUCGCACGGGUCCAUCGGGUGUGCCUCAUUCGACCACUGGUCCCACGGAGGAGGAAUACGAAUCCGGCAAUGGCCCCUCACUACCUCAGUCACCCGCUUCGCUGGAACCGCCCGCGCUCGACUCCGACGAUGACGAGAAAAUUCUAGCCAAGGGUCAGGUGGGCGUGUACGUGCGCGAGGACAAGGUGUCGCGCGCGCUGCCGUUCGAGGAGUUCUGCCGGUCGGGGGUGAGCCUGGCGGCGGAGGGGCGGUUGGUGGUGCGGCUCGGCGACCGCUGGAUGCCGUGGAGGAGCGCCGGCCCGCUCAUACUCUCGCUCCUCGCAUAUAGAAGACCUCUUCCUAAUCGAGUGCUAGAGUCGCUAGAGAAGAGUUCAGACAAAGAGGAGUCGUCCGAGAGUCACGCGCACAGCGCAGGCGCCGCCAAGCCGCGCGGGUACUCCUGGUGGAGCUGGCGUCGGUCCAACGCGGACGCCAAGCACACGGAAUCAUCCCCACCUAAAGAAAACGCACCAAAGGAAACAUUACCACACGAAGAAGCGAUCUCAAAAUUAGACUCUACAUUAGAAACACCUUUACUAAUGCCUACUGAAGAGAAACUAGAAGACAAUAUAAUUACGGGAAUCGAGCAGGUUAUUGAACCUCAGGAAUACAUCGCGAACGAGCGUGUACCAGAGAUCUUGCCAGAAACCGUGCAAAGUCACGAUCAAGUAGAUCACCAAGAUCAUAGUUCCUCCGAAUCAGAUCAAGACCAAAGUCAACCGUCGCGACGGUACUCCUCAUUCCGCAAGACGCUUCGGCUCUCUUCUGAACAAAUUAAAAAUUUGAAUCUACGGGAGGGCAUGAACGAGAUGGUGUUCAGCGUGACCACCGCCUACCAGGGCACCACGCGCUGCAAAUGCAACGUGUUCCGCUGGCGACACGACGACAAGAUCGUCAUCUCCGACAUCGACGGCACUAUCACCAAGUCUGAUGUCCUGGGUCAUAUAUUCCCGCUGGUCGGUAAAGACUGGGCGCAGUCUGGAGUGGCGCAGCUGUUUACCAAAAUUAAAAACAAUGGCUACCAGCUUUUGUACCUCUCGGCGAGAGCUAUUGGUCAAGCGAAAGUGACGCGCGAGUACCUGCGCUCGAUCAGACAGGGCGAGGUGUGUUUGCCCGACGGUCCACUUCUCCUCAACCCCACGUCACUGUUGCGCGCCUUCCACCGCGAGGUCAUCGAGAAGAAACCAGAGGAGUUCAAGAUACAGUGUCUCGCCGAUAUCAAGGCACUCUUCCCGCAGGGUUCGAACCCGUUCUACGCGGGAUAUGGCAACAGAGUUAAUGAUGUUUGCGCGUACCAGGCAGUUGGCAUUCCAAUCGUGAGAAUAUUCACAAUAAACUAUAAAGGCGAAUUGAAACACGAACUGACACAGACAUUCCAAUCCACUUACCACGUGCAAAGUGACAUGGUCGAUGAUUUCUUCCCAGCACUGAAACGUGAUAAUAAUGUUAAAAGCUUGUUCGAGGUUUAGGUGUAGAGUAUUAACUAGUAGUUAGUGAGAGAAAUUAUCGGAGGCGCGAUUAUUGCCGGUACUCGCACAUGUCGGUGCUGGUGGACCAGGUGUUCCCGCCGGCGCAGUGCGAGCCGAGCGCGGAGUUCUCGCAGACGCUGUACUGGCGCGAGCCGCUCCCCGACGUGCCGCCGCUCGCGCCCGCGCCCGCGCC
rnacentral:misc_RNA from 1 species